ACCUCUUUUUCUUUCUCAGGGGGAAUUGGGUUUUUUUACAUACAACUGAGUUUUCGCUUACACGUUCUUUAAUUUCUUUUAAUUCCUGUUUCAUCACCAGGCUGGAAUGUAGUGGUGCAAUAACAGCUCACUGUAGCCUCGACCUCCUGGGCUCAAGCCAUCCCCAACCUCACCCUCCCGAGUAGCUGGGACCACAGGCGUGUGCCACCACACUCAGCUAAUUUAUUUAAAACAAUUUUUUUUAGAGAUGAGGUCUCCCUUUGUUGCCCAGCUGGUCUGAAAUUCCUGGUUUCAAGUGACCCUCACACGUCAGCCUCCUAAAGAGGUGAAGUUAUAAGCAUGAACCAUUGUGGCCAGCGGUGGGACUGAUCCUUACAAAGGUCUUGUGUGCUUCUUAUCUCUCUUGGAACCACGUCAUGGCCAUGAAAACAAGCUCAAGCUAGCCUACUGAAGGAUACAAGAACCAUAGAGGAAAGCUGAGUCACUUUAGCUGAGGCCAUAAUAGACUGAUCAGCCCCCUGCCAACAACCAGUGAUGGCAGAUGCUUGAUCGGGCCCCAGAAAGUUCAUCAGAAAUGAGUGAGUCAAGGUCACAAUAACUGAUCAGCUGAACCAUGGACUCAGGAAAAAUUUUUUUUAAAGGUAGUUGUUUGUUUUGUUUUUUAACAUACCAGUAGCUACAUAGCCCAUAUUGCAAAUGACAUCAAAUUGGACAGAAUGGUUACUGGGUUGUAAUUUUGGAAUGACGGAUUCUAAGUAUCAAGAAGAAUCUGAAUGGGAACAAAUGUAUAAUUCUCAUGAAGUGCUGUACUUGAUUAAAAACUCAAUACAAAACUAAGAUGGUCUCCAGAUACAAGGAUGUAAUAUUUUCCAAUAUAUUUUUAGCAAACUCUCUGGAAUAGUUGGUUGUACUUCGGAGGCUGGUCUAGGGAAGAAUGGUUAGAAUCAGUCUAGAAAUCAUGUCAAAUUCUUAUCACUUGCUAUCAAACUAGCUGGUUCAAUUCCUUAUUAGUGAUCUGCAAUAAGAUAAAAUCUUGUGCUACAACAUAAAGCAACUAUCUCAAUAAACACAGUUUAAUUCAGCUAACUUUAUUUUUUUUUGUAGCAAGAAUUUUUCAGUGAAAUAAGUGGUGUGUUGAUUUAUAGUUUGGUGCAAGCUCCCUAUCUUCUUGCAGACCUAUAACAUAUGUGCAGAGGGUAAGAAAUAGUCACAGACCAUCACCAGUGCACUGACCACACAGUGAAACCCUCUGCACUAGAGGAAUGGUUAAAUGAACCUAGGCUACCUAUCUCAGAAACAAACAAACAAA
rnacentral:lncRNA from 10 species